rnacentral:rRNA from 1 species
AAGCAUUGUUUCUUAAUCUGAGUGUAUCAAUAUUACCUUGUUCAGAACUUAAAGAGAAAUCUUGAGUUUAUGGACUUCAGGGGGAGUCUGGUCACAAGGCUGAAACUUAAAGGAAUUGACGGAAGGGCACACCAGGAGUGGAGCCUGCGGCUUAAUUUGACUCAACACGGGGAAACUUACCAAGACCGAACAGUAGAAGGAAUGACAGAUUAAGAGUUCUUUCAUGAUUUAUUGGGUAGUGGUGCAUGGCCUUCUUAGUUGGUGGAGUGAUUUGUCAGGUUAAUUCCGGUAACGAACGAGACUGAAACCUAUUAAUUAGUUUUCUGCCUAUAAGACAGAAAUGUUCGCAAGAACAGGUGCGUAAGUACCACUUCUUAAAGGGACACAUUUCAAUUGUCCUAUUUUAAUUGUAGUUAU